GACGAACGCUGGCGGCGUGCUUAACACAUGCAAGUCUACGAGAACGAGGUAGCAAUAUCUUUAGUAAAGUGGCGCACGGGUGCGUAACACGUAAGCAAUCUACCUUUGGGUCUGGAAUAACUUCGAGAAAUCGAGGCUAAUACCGGAUAAUGCAGCGGCACCGCAUGGUGAUGUUGUUAAAGUUUGAGUAAUGCCUAUAGAUGAGCUUGCGUCUGAUUAGCUAGUUGGUAGGGUAUAGGCCUACCAAGGCAACGAUCAGUAGCUGGUCUGAGAGGAUGAUCAGCCACACUGGAACUGAGACACGGUCCAGACUCCUACGGGAGGCAGCAGUGAGGAAUAUUGGGCAAUGCCCGCAAGGGUGACCCAGCAACGCCGCGUGGAGGAUGAAGGCCGUAAGGUUGUAAACUCCUGUUAGAGGAGAAGAAUAGUGCCGAUUGGAUCGGUAUUUGACUGUACCCUCAGAGAAAGCCCCGGCUAACUACGUGCCAGCAGCCGCCGUAAUAC
rnacentral:rRNA from 1 species